rnacentral:rRNA from 4 species
AAAUUGAAGAGUUUGAUCAUGGCUCAGAUUGAACGCUGGCGGCAGGCCUAACACAUGCAAGUCGAGCGGUAGCACAGAGAGCUUGCUCUCGGGUGACGAGCGGCGGACGGGUGAGUAAUGUCUGGGAAACUGCCUGAUGGAGGGGGAUAACUACUGGAAACGGUAGCUAAUACCGCAUAAUGUCGCAAGACCAAAGUGGGGGACCUUCGGGCCUCAUGCCAUCAGAUGUGCCCAGAUGGGAUUAGCUAGUAGGUGGGGUAACGGCUCACCUAGGCGACGAUCCCUAGCUGGUCUGAGAGGAUGACCAGCCACACUGGAACUGAGACACGGUCCAGACUCCUACGGGAGGCAGCAGUGGGGAAUAUUGCACAAUGGGCGCAAGCCUGAUGCAGCCAUGCCGCGUGUGUGAAGAAGGCCUUCGGGUUGUAAAGCACUUUCAGCGGGGAGGAAGGCGGUGAGGUUAAUAACCUCACCGAUUGACGUUACCCGCAGAAGAAGCACCGGCUAACUCCGUGCCAGCAGCCGCGGUAAUACGGAGGGUGCAAGCGUUAAUCGGAAUUACUGGGCGUAAAGCGCACGCAGGCGGUCUGUCAAGUCGGAUGUGAAAUCCCCGGGCUCAACCUGGGAACUGCAUUCGAAACUGGCAGGCUAGAGUCUUGUAGAGGGGGGUAGAAUUCCAGGUGUAGCGGUGAAAUGCGUAGAGAUCUGGAGGAAUACCGGUGGCGAAGGCGGCCCCCUGGACAAAGACUGACGCUCAGGUGCGAAAGCGUGGGGAGCAAACAGGAUUAGAUACCCUGGUAGUCCACGCUGUAAACGAUGUCGAUUUGGAGGUUGUGCCCUUGAGGCGUGGCUUCCGGAGCUAACGCGUUAAAUCGACCGCCUGGGGAGUACGGCCGCAAGGUUAAAACUCAAAUGAAUUGACGGGGGCCCGCACAAGCGGUGGAGCAUGUGGUUUAAUUCGAUGCAACGCGAAGAACCUUACCUGGUCUUGACAUCCACAGAACUUUCCAGAGAUGGAUUGGUGCCUUCGGGAACUGUGAGACAGGUGCUGCAUGGCUGUCGUCAGCUCGUGUUGUGAAAUGUUGGGUUAAGUCCCGCAACGAGCGCAACCCUUAUCCUUUGUUGCCAGCGGUUAGGCCGGGAACUCAAAGGAGACUGCCAGUGAUAAACUGGAGGAAGGUGGGGAUGACGUCAAGUCAUCAUGGCCCUUACGACCAGGGCUACACACGUGCUACAAUGGCAUAUACAAAGAGAAGCGACCUCGCGAGAGCAAGCGGACCUCAUAAAGUAUGUCGUAGUCCGGAUUGGAGUCUGCAACUCGACUCCAUGAAGUCGGAAUCGCUAGUAAUCGUAGAUCAGAAUGCUACGGUGAAUACGUUCCCGGGCCUUGUACACACCGCCCGUCACACCAUGGGAGUGGGUUGCAAAAGAAGUAGGUAGCUUAACCUUCGGGAGGGCGCUUACCACUUUGUGAUUCAUGACUGGGGUGAAGUCGUAACAAGGUAACCGUAGGGGAACCUGCGGUUGGAUCACCUCCUUA